rnacentral:lncRNA from 1 species
UUCAAACUAUUAUAAUAUUCAGAGAAAGAUAUAUCAUGUCUAUAGUAUUAAUUGAUAUUUGCAGUGCCAGAUAAACUGCUUUUCUAAAGAUACAGUUAUAUCAUGAUAAUAUUUUAAAAGAGUUUUUUUACAAGUCCCAAAUUUACAUAUUUAUGAGAAAACAUAAAAUAUUUUGAUUAAAGGUGAUUCCCACUUAUUUGAUUAACACAUUUUUCUCUGUUAAAUACAAAAAACAAUUCAUGAAAAGGAAGAGAAAUAACUUUUAAUAGAUUAGUUAGAUUGUAAUCAGAUUUGAUGGUCCAUCUGGUUGGCUUUUCUGAAAAACACAUUUUGCUCUUUGUAAAAGAAAAAAACGAUUCAUGAAAAGGAAGAGAAAUAACUCUGAAUAGAUGGGUUAGAUUAUAAUCAGAUUUGAUGGUCCAUUUGAUUGUCUUUUUCAAUGUUUUUCUGGAUGUUGGAAGACAAGCUAGACAUAUAUGUGUCGACAGCUUAUAUUACAUUUAAUUCUGUGUUUGAAUGUCACAUGAAUGUUCAUUAAUUUGAUUGUUUAUCUUUUUUUUUUUUAAACAUUAUACAUGUUAUAAAACUAAAUUUCAAUAACUAUUUCAAUAUAAUCAUGAUAAUACAUAACACAUUCUCCAUUUCCAUUCUCAAUUUUUUGCUAUGGAAUAAAGAAAUAUCCAUGUUAAAUGAUAUUUCAUGAGUUGAUUCUCUUAAUUUUAUCCACAUUUGAAAAGUGCAUUAGCAUGAAUUUAGCUUAUUAAUGUAGUAAGAAUAACAUCUAGAUGUGUAUUGUACCUAACGUUAUUUUCCUAUGAAUGUUUAUUUAUAUGCACCUAUAUAUUUCUGUUCUCUUCUGUACAUUUUGUUCCUCUUUUAAAUCCCCCAAAAAGGAAAGUUUGUUUUACAUCUUCAAAAUAAUUUGUACAAAUUCAUCAUCAUUUUUCUCUGUACUUUUAAAUGCAUUUAUAAUAUUGGAUUGAUUUUAAUAAUGAUUUAGUCACUGUGUUUUUGAUAUGGCAUGUUAAACCAUUUCUCUCAUUAUUCAUGCAAGUCAAGCAUUUUACAACAGUUUUUAAGUUUGCAUACUCUUAAAAUUGCUGUCCCUACAUUUUUUAUUCAAUAUUAUUUUUUAUUUUCAUACAUGGUGCUUAUCUUGCCACAUGGAAAAAAAGGGCAUUUUAGUUAUCAAUGAAAACAAUCAGAUUGUACAACAAAUGAGCUUAAUCACUGAAUAAAACUUAAUGUGACUGGAUUGCUUAGGAGCCAAAAUAGUUAUUUUUUAAUUCAAAGACACAUCACAUUAAUUGAUAUAUAUAUAUAUUAUUUGUCAUAAAACUAUAUCAGAUGUAUUGGUUUAUAUUUGCACAGAUUCAAUUGAUUCAUAAUGAAUUUUGUUAUUAGUAUUUUGUAUUAUUUUUAUGAACAUGAUGAAGGUUUCAAGAAACCUAUAGUACAUGUAUAUGAUAGGGGAAAAAAUAAACAUUGAUAAAUAUGAUCUAGGAAAUAUUAAAAUAAUUGUGUUUGUAUUUUUUUUUUGUUCUAUGAUGUGUCUUCUUUUUCAAUGUUUGUUUCCCUAAUUGAAACAAAAUUACAGAGUACAUGUAUGUAAAAUUUAGGUAGAAGAAUCUUGCAUUCCUGGAAAUGAAAAAUUGGAAAAAAAUAUGGUAAUCUUACAGACAAUACACAAAUUAAUUUGGUUUUGCACAGAAUACAGUAAUACAUAUCCAAUCAAAGGGAAAUAAAUCAUAUUCAUGCAUCAUUAAGGUAAUACUCAACACCUUGACUAAAAUUAAUUCGGCUAUUUUAAUUUUCAAAAUAUUUUGACCCUUUGACAUAAGUAUAAAAAUUUCAAAAAAAAUGAACCAGACACAUUAUCAGAAAACCUUUGUUUGAUAUAAAGCAGUUUCAUAUUUUAUCCUAGAAGGUAAAAUUGAGCCAGUCAGAUUUCAAUUGUUAGAAGAUUUUGGCAUAAGAUAUUCCAUGCAAGUUACAUAUAGUGUGAAUUAUAUAAUGGUUCAGCUAUGGACCACAGACUUUGGCAUUUUAAAAUUUUGUCUAUAGAUUAACACAAGGUUGAAUAUGUUUUUCAUUGACACUAUUGUUCUAGUAUUAAUAUAUCAAUUGUAAAUAAAUAUAAUAUAUUUUUCUUUGACAUCAAUUGACUGAUCAGAGGAAGAAAAUUACAAAUGUAAGAAGAAGUCUUUAAGAAUUAGUCUUCCAUUAUUUAGAUUAUAAUUUGUGUUAAAUUAUAAAUAGUAAUUUUUGUAUUUACAUUGAUUUGACACAUAUCUAU